GAGUUUGCUCCUGGCUCAGGAUGAACGCUAGCGGCAGGCUUAACACAUGCAAGUCGAGGGGUAACGGGGAAGCUUGCUUCCGCCGACGACCGGCGCACGGGUGCGUAACGCGUAUACAAUCUACCUUAUACUGGGGUAUAGCCUUUAGAAAUGAAGAUUAACCCCCCAUAGUCUCUUAGAGUGGCAUCACUUCUAGAGUAAAGGUUACGGUAUAAGAUGAGUAUGCGUUCUAUUAGUUUGUUGGUGUGGUAACGGCACACCAAGACUACGAUAGAUAGGGGCCCUGAGAGGGGGAUCCCCCACACUGGUACUGAGACACGGACCAGACUCCUACGGGAGGCAGCAGUGAGGAAUAUUGGACAAUGGAGGCAACUCUGAUCCAGCCAUGCCGCGUGCAGGAAGACUGCCCUAUGGGUUGUAAACUGCUUUUAUACAGGAAGAAACACCUCUACGUGUAGAGGCUUGACGGUACUGUAAGAAUAAGGAUCGGCUAACUCCGUGCCAGCAGCCGCGGUAAUACGGAGGAUCCAAGCGUUAUCCGGAAUCAUUGGGUUUAAAGGGUCCGUAGGUGGAUAAUUAAGUCAGAGGUGAAAUCUUGCAGCUCAACUGUAAAAUUGCCUUUGAAACUGGUUAUCUUGAGUUAUUAUGAAGUAGUUAGAAUAUGUAGUGUAGCGGUGAAAUGCAUAGAUAUUACAUAGAAUACCAAUUGCGAAGGCAGAUUACUAAUAAUCAACUGACACUGAUGGACGAAAGCGUGGGUAGCGAACAGGAUUAGAUACCCUGGUAGUCCACGCCGUAAACGAUGGUUACUAGCUGUUUGGACUUCGGUCUGAGUGGCUAAGCGAAAGUGAUAAGUAACCCACCUGGGGAGUACGUUCGCAAGAAUGAAACUCAAAGGAAUUGACGGGGGCCCGCACAAGCGGUGGAGCAUGUGGUUUAAUUCGAUGAUACGCGAGGAACCUUACCAGGGCUUAAAUGUAAGUUGCAUUAGUUAGAGAUAGCUAUUUCUUCGGACCACUUACAAGGUGCUGCAUGGUUGUCGUCAGCUCGUGCCGUGAGGUGUCAGGUUAAGUCCUAUAACGAGCGCAACCCCUGUUGUUAGUUGCCAGCGAGUCAUGUCGGGAACUCUAGCAAGACUGCCAGUGCAAACUGUGAGGAAGGUGGGGAUGACGUCAAAUCAUCACGGCCCUUACGUCCUGGGCUACACACGUGCUACAAUGGUAGGUACAGAGAGCAGCCACUGCGCGAGCAGGAGCGAAUCUAUAAAACCUAUCACAGUUCGGAUCGGAGUCUGCAACUCGACUCCGUGAAGCUGGAAUCGCUAGUAAUCGGAUAUCAGCCAUGAUCCGGUGAAUACGUUCCCGGGCCUUGUACACACCGCCCGUCAAGCCAUGGAAGUUGGAAGUGCCUGAAGUCCGUCACCGUAAGGAGCGGCCUAGGGUAAAGUCGAUAACUAGGGCUAAGUCGUAACAAGGUAACC
rnacentral:rRNA from 1 species